ACGCUUACAGAACCCUAAAUCUCUCACUCUUUUCCUUCACGCUUCCUGAUUUCCCUUUCGUCUUCACCUUCAAGUCUAUGAAGUUCAAUCGAUUCAACGUGUUAUUAACCCGUUUUGUUAUAUUUGAUUGUUGGCGGAAGACGAUGGAGGUUAUCGGAGGUCACACCUGCCCAUCCGGCACCUUCAUUAGCCUCACCCUUUCUCUCCAAACGCUAAUUCUUUUCUUUCCAAACACGCCUUUGCCUCAAUUGUUUCAUGAUUCCAUUGCAAGUUUUCUUCCCCAUCACCAUCAUCCUCCAUUUUUUAUUGAUUUCAUAAGAAGAGGUAUUGUUUUGUUGAUUUUUACUUCAUCCACGCUAUUAUCAAAAUGUCUAAGAAUGGAACCGGUGUUAAUAAAGCUAAGAAGCAACCAGGUUAAUAAAGCCAAGAAGCAACGAGUUCCUGUAAGAGACUUCAUUGACAUUAUUAAUGAAAGUCGAAAGGAGACAUGGUAAAAACUAUUUUACUUUGCUCUUUAGAAGGUGUUUAGGACUGCUUAUUCGUUCUUUGGAUGCUGUAAUGAGUCAAAUGGUCUAUCUUGAAAAUUUGGUUAUAAGUGGAACUGGUCAAUGGUUUUGGUGAUAAUCUAUUUUGCUCACAAGUUGGUUUAUACUGGUUAUAGAUUACAUAUAACCAUGCUUGUAAAAUUCUCGCAUAAGCUCUAAGUACUCGCUACAAGGUAGGUUGCUGAGGCCCGAGUACUGUUCCUCUAGCCAAAUCGGUCACGAUUGGGUAAGACGUGAAUAAAAAAAUGUCACGUUGUAUUUAUUUUAUUUGCACAUUUAUGAUUAAUCAAGUCAAAUAAUGGGUUGUCACUUUUAAUACUAGAAGUGACUGCAAAAUUUUGAAUCCCAGAUGAAAAAAAUGUAGGAUGCCUUUUGUUGAUUUCCCAUAAGUAUUUAGGGUAUCAACGUAAAUUUUUCAUUAAUUAUUUUGUAUUUAUAUUGGUUCAUUAUUUUUAAAUACUUUUAUGUAUUAUUUUGCAAUUCAAAUUUGUAAUUUUUGUUAUUAAAUGGUGCAUAAUUAGUACAAUUUAUUUGAUACAAGAUGUUGGAAGAUUUUCGCCAACCAUGUUUAGGAAAUGGAUCAGAAUUGUCGGGUUGGGCUGUCCAUUUUUAUAACUUAUUAUAAAAACAAAUGCAAAAAUAUUUUUUAAAAGUGAAUUUAAAUUACUUUAGAUCUAAAACAUACCAAAGUUUGGUAGCAUCGAGGUUAAAUUUUGAUUUAUAAGCAAAUGGAUAUAUGUGAAUCACUUAUUUUUCCUCUGAUAUACAUGUAAUAUGUGAAUGUGAAUAUUAUUUGUAUCAGUUCAAAUGUUUGAUAACUUUUCAAGUUAGACUUUUGUUGUGUUAUUAAAUGAAGUAUAGUGGUUCAUAGGAUUCUGAUAUUAAAGUCAUGUACGAGAUAUGCUACUCGUAGAUGUUUAAAAGGGGAUGCUUUUAGCUAUAUACUGCAUUACUGCCCUUAAACUACCUUUUUUCAAUUGUAAUAGUAUAUUCGGCCAUUUGUGGUUCUGUUGUUAUGCUCUCUUUAGAAGUAGAAUGGGAAUGUAAGCAUUUUCGUUGAGCAAACUCAGAUUCAACUCUUGAAGAGCCAAACUUUAUGUUCAAACCACUAACAAAUUCUUCUAGCAUACUUCAUAAAACUCCUCGUAUGUAUUUGUGGUUCUGUUAUUAUUUUAUUUUUGUUUACAGAUGUUAUAGAUUGAAAGCAAAGGACGAAAUCAAAAGUUCUAAGUUGGAUUCCUGAAGUAUUGUUCGUAUUAGAGGACACUUCAAACAGUUAGAGACAGAGUUCAGGAGUAUCCUCAACAUUUUAAAUCAUCCGGAUUUCAAGGAUGGCACGAUCCUGAGUCGUCACAACAGUUCAAGUGACCUCUAUCCGCUCACCCCGCCUGCUUCCGCUACUGCCUGCUUUGUCUCCUCCGUAGACUCUCCUCAUUGGCACCACCGACUUAGACAUCCGGGUCAACCAGUCAUGGAGUCUCUACGAUCCAAGCACUUUAUUUCUUGCAAUAAAAUAAAAUUUCCUUUACUUUGUCAUUCAUGUCAGUUAUCUAAACACAAGAAAUUGCCUUUUUCUGAUUCUGUAUCCCGCACUUUAAUGCCUUUUGCUAUGUUACACUGUGAUUUGUGG